rnacentral:rRNA from 1 species
AUGGGAGCUUGCUCCCUGAUGUUAGCGGCGGACGGGUGAGUAACACGUGGGUAACCUGCCUGUAAGACUGGGAUAACUCCGGGAAACCGGGGCUAAUACCGGAUGCUUGUUUGAACCGCAUGGUUCAGACAUAAAAGGUGGCUUCGGCUACCACUUACAGAUGGACCCGCGGCGCAGUAGCUAGUUGGUGAGGUAACGGCUCACCAAGGCGACGAUGCGUAGCCGACCUGAGAGGGUGAUCGGCCACACUGGGACUGAGACACGGCCCAGACUCCUACGGGAGGCAGCAGUAGGGAAUCUUCCGCAAUGGACGAAAGUCUGACGGAGCAACGCCGCGUGAGUGAUGAAGGUUUUCGGAUCGUAAAGCUCUGUUGUUAGGGAAGAACAAGUGCCGUUCAAAUAGGGCGGCACCUUGACGGUACCUAACCAGAAAGCCACGGCUAACUACGUGCCAGCAGCCGCGGUAAUACGUAGGUGGCAAGCGUUGUCCGGAAUUAUUGGGCGUAAAGGGCUCGCAGGCGGUUUCUUAAGUCUGAUGUGAAAGCCCCCGGCUCAACCGGGGAGGGUCAUUGGAAACUGGGGAACUUGAGUGCAGAAGAGGAGAGUGGAAUUCCACGUGUAGCGGUGAAAUGCGUAGAGAUGUGGAGGAACACCAGUGGCGAAGGCGACUCUCUGGUCUGUAACUGACGCUGAGGAGCGAAAGCGUGGGGAGCGAACAGGAUUAGAUACCCUGGUAGUCCACGCCGUAAACGAUGAGUGCUAAGUGUUAGGGGGUUUCCGCCCCUUAGUGCUGCAGCUAACGCAUUAAGCACUCCGCCUGGGGAGUACGGUCGCAAGACUGAAACUCAAAGGAAUUGACGG